UUGCACGCUGGCGGCAUGCCUUACCCCUGCAAGUCGAACGGUAACAGGUCUUCGGAUGCUGACGAGUGGCGAACGGGUGAGUAAUACAUCGGAACGUGCCCAGACGUGGGGGAUAACGAGGCGAAAGCUUUGCUAAUACCGCAUACGAUCUAAGGAUGAAAGCAGGGGACCGCAAGGCCUUGUGCGUUUGGAGCGGCCGAUGGCAGAUUAGGUAGUUGGUGGGAUAAAAGCUUACCAAGCCGACGAUCUGUAGCUGGUCUGAGAGGACGACCAGCCACACUGGGACUGAGACAUGGCCCAGACUCCUACGGGAGGCAGCAGUGGGGAAUUUUGGACAAUGGGCGAAAGCCUGAUCCAGCAAUGCCGCGUGCAGGAUGAAGGCCUUCGGGUUGUAAACUGCUUUUGUACGGAACGAAAAGGCUCUGGCUAAUACCUGGGGCACAUGACGGUACCGUAAGAAUAAGCACCGGCUAACUACGUG
rnacentral:rRNA from 1 species